UGGGGAAUAUUGCACAAUGGGCGAAAGCCUGAUGCAGCAACGCCGCGUGAGCGAAGAAGGCCUUUGGGUCGUAAAGCUCUGUCCUAGGGGAAGAAACAAAUGACGGUACCCUGGGAGGAAGCCCCGGCUAACUACGUGCCAGCAGCCGCGGUAAUACAGAGACUGCAAGCGUUACUCGGAUUCACUGGGCGUAAAGGGAGCGCAGGCGGAAUCGUGUGUCGGAUGUGAAACCCGGGGGCUCAACUCCCGGACUGCGUCUGAAACUGCGAUUCUAGGGACUCGGAGGGGCCAGUGGAAUUCUUGGUGGAGCAGUGAAAUGCGUAGAUAUCAAGAGGAACACCAACGGCGAAGGCAGCUGGCUGGACGAGAUCCGACGCUCAGGCUCGAAAGUAUGGGGAGCAAAAA
rnacentral:rRNA from 1 species